GGCACUUGUGUGUCUGUUUUUGUCUAACUUGUGGACUGAGACUUAUGGGCAGGUGCAGAAAAUAAAUCCUCUUUUGCAACCCAGAACUCAUUGUUCAGUACAAGUUUUGAUCCACACAAGAAGGAACAUU
ensembl:snoRNA